GAUGAAGAACGUAGUGAAAUGCGAUAAUUAAUGUGAAUUGCAGAAUUCAGUGAAUCAUCGAGUCUUUGAACGCACAUUGCGCCCCCUGGUAUUCCGGGGGGCAUGCCUGUCCGAGCGUCAUUGCUGCCCUCAAGCACGGCUUGUGUGUUGGGCUUCCGUCCCUGGCAACGGGGACGGGCCCAAAAGGCAGUGGCGGCACCAUGUCUGGUCCUCGAGCGUAUGGGGCUUUGUCACCCGCUCCCGUAGGUCCAGCUGGCAGCUAGCCUCGCAACCAAUCUUUUUAACCAGGUUGACCUCGGAUCAGGUAGGGAUACCCGCUGGACUUAAGCAUAUCAAUAAGCGGAGGA
rnacentral:misc_RNA from 1 species